rnacentral:rRNA from 1 species
AAACCAUGCACCGAAGCUGCGGCAGCGAACGUAUCACCCAAGACAACUUUACGGAGUUGACGAUUGACGGAGCGAAGCGACGUCAAAGCGUUCAUUAAAGUCGAGUUGGCUUAGGGAUACGUUCGUUGGGUAGGGGAGCGUUCUGUAAGCCUGUGAAGGUGUGUCGUGAGGCAUGCUGGAGGUAUCAGAAGUGCGAAUGCUGACAUAAGUAACGAUAAAGCGGGUGAAAAGCCCGCUCGCCGGAAGACCAAGGGUUCCUGUCCAACGUUAAUCGGGGCAGGGUGAGUCGACCCCUAAGGCGAGGCCGAAAGGCGUAGUCGAUGGGAAACGGGUUAAUAUUCCCGUACUUGGUGUUACUGCGAAGGGGGGACGGAGAAGGCUAUGUUGGCCGGGCGACGGUUGUCCCGGUUUAAGCGUGUAGGUGUGUGUUCCAGGUAAAUCCGGUUCACUUUAACACUGAGGCGUGACGACGAGGCACUACGGUGCUGAAGCAACAAAUGCCCUGCUUCCAGGAAAAGCCUCUAAGCAUCAGGUAACACGAAAUCGUACCCCAAACCGACACAGGUGGUCAGGUAGAGAAUACCAAGGCGCUUGAGAGAACUCGGGUGAAGGAACUAGGCAAAAUGGUGCCGUAACUUCGGGAGAAGGCACGCUGACACGUAGGUGAAGUGAUUUACUCAUGGAGCUGAAGUCAGUCGAAGAUACCAGCUGGCUGCAACUGUUUAUUAAAAACACAGCACUGUGCAAACACGAAAGUGGACGUAUACGGUGUGACGCCUGCCCGGUGCCGGAA